CAGGGACGAUGACUCCACCUCCUCCCUGGGCAGCUGUGCCACUGCCUCACCGCUCCUUCUGGGAUGGGUUACUGGAGGGAACUCCUCUUCCCCCAGCUGCACGCUUAGCGUCUCCCUUGCUGCACGCACUGAGAAGGAGGUGUGCGCCACAGACUGAACAAAGCCAAGCGAAAAAGGCAGUGCAGCUUCUGCUCUGGCCUCUGCUUGUUUCACAUGCCAGUGAGCAAUGAAAGCACAGCACUAACAAAUAAACCACACUUCUUCAAAAAGCCCCCGGGAGGCUAUAUUCAAUGGUAUCAUUUUUUUUUUCUGUUUCUUUCUGAUUCUUUUUUUUUUUUCUGUCGGAGCUGACAUCUUUUCCUCUUGCUGAACCAGCAUUUCCUGACAGCAAACCAUUGUCAGAAAUUUUCCAUCCAGCUCUCGGGUGGAUUUCAACACUCAGUGUUUGCACAUAUGUACGAGAAGAGGUUAAUGUCAAUCUCAGAAACUUAUCUACAGGAUGUGCACGAGGGUACCAGCAGCGAGGAGCAGCACGUUCGUUUGGAGAAGUUCAGGCACCAGUUGCUUUCUUUGCCUUGGAGCUGGUGUCAGCUCUGCUCUGCUCGAUUACAGCUGUAAUGGUGAUCCUCUCUCAUGUGUUUACUGCCCAGCUGACCUGUCAUUAGGAAAAAAUCCUUCCGUGGUCAACGCUGCCUUUCGUGACACAGCAGAGCUCCUUUCAAAAGCCCUGGGACAUUCUGAUGGUUUUGAAAGAAAACAUCUAGGAGAAGAGCGCUGCUCUCCCAGUGAGCAGCAACACAGGCUGGCCUCAGAAGUCAGACAAGUGAGGCAGGAGCUUGGGAGGGGGGGGGGGACGUGCUAACUAAUGCAACAGCAGGCACUUUAAUCACUGACGAGAUCACUGCCUGUGCUGCCUGAGGACAAUUCCUUAUCACAGCUGCCCACUGAAUAGCAACAGGACCAGUCUCCGCGUCUGAAGAACUUUAACCAGCAAAGCCUCUCCAAAGAUAACAAUGCACUGGGAGGGUAUGCAUGCCCAGGCAACGCUUUAAAGAAGUUAAAAAAGAAACAUUCCCCACAGUGUCACAGGUCUGCCAAGCACGAUGCAGCCCAGGGUCAUCAGCCUCUGCCUGUGGUGUUGGCACUCUAGGGAUGUGGACGAAAACCCCAACUCCUGGGGCUUUUAAGGGACCAGGAAGGGAAACAGUCUGUCCCCAUUCAGAUUUCUGCAGCCAAAGCUGCCUUCACAUGCACGCUUCCACAGAGAGUGUCACGGCAUCCCAGCAGCACAUCCAGGAGAUUGCCUUUACUAAAGGGGAGGGCUGAUUCAUCACCCUGCUGAAGUAUCACGAGCAGCCUCAGCCUCAGAGACCGGACCUGUUUGACAGCAGCCAGACAGCAUCAGCUGCCUCCUGGAGGAGAGGAAAAAAAAAAGGUUUGAAAUGAGAGAGCGAGCAGAGGAAUGAAGGGGAAAAAUGACUGGAGGACUGGAAGAGGACAAAGAGCUGCCUCUGGGAGACACAGUUCAACUUACAGAAGUAUGGGGUGGCUCUGAGCCCGCCUCAUCCAUCAAGGAGGAGACGCAUUGCCCCAAGUCCCAGCAGCACUCACACUGCCCAGGGAGGAUGGCAUGAAGCUGGGAGAGUCCGCUGCCCUCUGCUCCAGCUCUCGUGACUGGCUUAAAAAGUGAAGUGAAAGAGAGCUAUGGGAAACUGCAUGGUUGCACUUCGCCUUUAAUGCUGUCCUCCCAGUUCACGGUCUUUAUUCGUGUGUUUUAUCAUAAAAUUUUGUUUUCUAUUUUCUCACAGAUGUUAACUUUAUAAGAAAGUUGCACUGUUUUAACUUCAGUUUUGUUAGCAUGAUGCAGAUGACGCUUCACAUCACUUAAAGUGAAAUUAAAACCCCUGCAACAAACAAACCAACAAA
ensembl:lncRNA